GGAUCCGUGGUGUAGUGGUUAUCACGUUUGCUUUACAUCAUGAGUGAUGCGCGCAAAAGGUCGUCAGUUCGAGCCUGGCUGGAUUCA